CACGUAGUUAGCCGGGGCUUUCUCGUGAGGUACCGUCACCGCGCCGCCCUCUUCGAACGGCACUCCUUCGUCCCUCACAACAGAGCUUUACGACCCGAAGGCCUUCUUCGCUCACGCGGCGUCGCCCCGUCAGGCUUUCGCCCAUUGCGGAAGAUUCCCUACUGCUGCCUCCCGUAGGAGUCUGGGCCGUGUCUCAGUCCCAGUGUGGCCGGUCACCCUCUCAGGCCGGCUACGCAUCGUCGCCUUGGUGAGCCGUUACCUCACCAACUAGCUAAUGCGCCGCGGGCCCAUCCGCAAGUGACAGCCCAAAGGCCGCCUUUCAACCGAAGACCAUGCGGUCUUCGGUGUUAUCCGGUAUUAGCUCCGGUUUCCCGGAGUUAUCCCGGUCUUGCGGGCAGGUUGCCCACGUGUUACUCACCCGUCCGCCGCUGACCGAAUCAAGGCAAGCCCCAAUCCGGUCCGCUCGACUUGCAUGUAUUAGGCACGCCGCCAGCGUCGUCCUCGUAGCCACGGAGUCAACUACU
rnacentral:rRNA from 1 species